rnacentral:sRNA from 1 species
CGCACGGAAGUUAUUGUACGUAUACAUUUCAGUGUCAUCAAGAUUUAGAAUGUACUGGAUUAACUUGCAAAUGCUCUUCCAUUAGCUAUUACAAUUAUCGAACAUGUCUAUCAAAACUUUCUCACGCCGUAACCUGUUCAACUUCUGAACAGUGUCUUACCCCUUAUGUGUGUAGAGACGAGAAAUACUUCAGCAAGACAUGUCUUUGCCCUAUCAACAUGUUUCUCAACACAUCGAACUGUCUAAAUGAGUCAACUGUCCGAGCAGCAGUUUCCAACAGUUCUAUAGUCAAGAUAGAUUCAAUACUUCUCAAAUGGACAACGCAAACAUGGAAGUCAAAUUUCUUUUUUACUGUUGGAUGGGGUGGAAAUAUUUUAUAUCCAAAUUCGAGUGAAUACUACGUAGAUGGUCUAUCACCUGGAAGAACCUACAUCUUUACUAUCACAACAAACAUACCGGGAGACAAUUAUUACAUUAAUAAAUCCGUGCAGUCUAAUAUCUCUUUAA